AAGAAUCAGUAACUUACUUAGAGAUGGUUCAGAGUUUCCAAACCUAGAAUCUAUGCAAAACAUGACCUAUUUGAUGUUAAGCAACUGCAACUUGUCAGGAUCUUUUCCCAGAUACUUGACUGAAAUGAAACAACUGAAAGUUUUGUAAUCUUCAUUAUCUCUUAUGCUUAAUUUUUCAUUCAUCUACAUCAAGAUUGAAAUGUGAAUUUCACGCAUACUUAGAGCUGCCGACCUUAGAUUGCUAAUUUAGUUAUUAUUUGUACUUUUUUGUGAACUUCCAUAACGUAGAUUUAAGAACAAUAUGCACCUUUUAUUUUGGUUACAGGGAUCUCAGUUUCAACAGAUUGAAAGGAGAUCUUCCAACAGAUUAUGAUGACCUAAUAAGCUUGGAGAAAAUUUAUGUUACAAGGAACAUGCUUUCAGGACCCAUCCCGCCCUGGAUCCAUAGCAGAGAUACUCGCUGGUAA